rnacentral:rRNA from 1 species
UACGUAGGGGGCAAGCGUUGUCCGGAAUCAUUGGGCGUAAAGAGCGUGUAGGCGGCCACUUAAGUCCUGCGUGAAAUCUUGCGGCUCAACCGCAAGCGGUCGUGGGAAACUGGGUGGCUAGAGUGCGGGAGAGGAGAGUGGAAUUCCUGGUGUAGCGGUGGAAUGCGCAGAUAUCAGGAAGAACACCCGUGGCGAAGGCGGCUCUCUGGAACGCAACUGACGCUGAGACGCGAAAGCGUGGGGAGCGAACAGG